UAUUAAUUGAGAAAAUAAUCAGGCAAAUAAUUGACAAUUGGAAAUAUUCAAUAGCUGCAGCCCUGUGACUAUUGGAUCUAGUCACCAUGGGUUCACUACAGGGGAUCUGUCACUUUAAGAGAGUGUUGUAUUGUGGGUUGUUUCCUUUGACUGCUAGAGUUGGAGCUACAAAACAAAAAAGUUGACCACUGAAAUGUCAUGUUUUGAGAUGGCAAAAGGCCGACUUAAAAUGCUAAUAGCAAAAAACAAAACAAAACUGUUUUUGUGAACCCACACAGCACUGAGCUGUGGGUACAUGACUGAAAACACAAGAGUGAAGGAGUACUUGUCACACUUGGCAAACAAAUUUGGACAAACAACCAAAGGUCUGGAGGUGGCAAUGGUAGAUGUGCUGUGCUGGAGGGGAGAGUGGAAUAGAAGAGAGUGAGAAAGAGUAAUUUCACCACUGGUUUAUCAAACACCUCCACAGUCAAUCUCUGGCUCUCACCAACUUCAUCAUUGCAUAGAGAAACUCUUCUUCACCACUUUGCACUUUUUUUCUAGUGGGGUGCUGUAUAGUAUGUGUUGUGCUGACU
rnacentral:lncRNA from 1 species